UUACGGUAAUAUCACAGUGAAACACUGGUUCCUGUACGAACAUUGAAGUUAAGCAACAUCGAGCCAAGUCAGUACCUAGAUGGGUGACAGAUGGGGAAUACUAGCUACUGUAAG